rnacentral:rRNA from 1 species
AGACCCGAAACCCGGUGAUCUAGCCAUGGGCAGGUUGAAGGUUGGGUAACACUAACUGGAGGACCGAACCGACUAAUGUUGAAAAAUUAGCGGAUGACCUGUGGCUGGGGGUGAAAGGCCAAUCAAACCGGGAGAUAGCUGGUUCUCCCCGAAAGCUAUUUAGGUAGCGCCUCGUGAAUUCAUCUCCGGGGGUAGAGCACUGUUUCGGCUAGGGGGCCAUCCCGGCUUACCAACCCGAUGCAAACUGCGAAUACCGGAGAAUGUUAUCACGGGAGACACACGGCGGGUGCUAACGUCCGUCGUGAAGAGGGAAACAACCCAGACCGCCAGCUAAGGUCCCAAAGUCAUGGUUAAGUGGGAAACGAUGUGGGAAGGCCCAGACAGCCAGGAUGUUGGCUUAGAAGCAGCCAUCAUUUAAAGAAAGCGUAAUAGCUCACUGGUCGAGUCGGCCUGCGCGGAAGAUGUAACGGGGCUAAACCAUGCACCGAAGCUGCGGCAGCGACGCUGAUGCGUUGUUGGGUAGGGGAGCGUUCUGUAAGCCUGCGAAGGUGGCCUGUGAGGGUUGCUGGAGGUAUCAGAAGUGCGAAUGCUGACAUAAGUAACGAUAAAGCGGGUGAAAAGCCCGCUCGCCGGAAGACCAAGGGUUCCUGUCCAACGUUAAUCGGGGCAGGGUGAGUCGACCCCUAAGGCGAGGCCGAAAGGCGUAGUCGAUGGGAAACGGGUUAAUAUUCCCGUACUUGGUGUUACUGCGAAGGGGGGACGGAGAAGGCUAUGUUGGCCGGGCGACGGUUGUCCCGGUUUAAGCGUGUAG